GGAAGGAUCAUUAACACGUUCGGGGCUGUUGCCUCGUUUCACUAAACAACAUGUCGACUGGGUGCCGUAUCGUUUUUUACAAACAAUCACAUUCACAUAUCGGUACUAAAGUAUUAUAUACAAUAAAGAUAUACAACUCUUAGCAAUGGAUAUCUUGGUUCCCACAACGAUGAAGAACGCAGCGAAAUGCGAUACGUAAUGCGAAUUGCAGAAUUCAGUGAAUCAUCAAAUCUUCGAACGCAAGUUGCGCUCUCGAGAUAUCCUUGAGAGCAUGCCUCUUUGAGUGUCGGUUUCCAAUACUUCGUUCCCGAACGAGUGACUGCAGCUUCGUCCGCCCCGGACGAUGCCGCUUCGUUUAAUCUACCGGUGCCCGGUCUUCUUGACUAUCAUAUCACAAAGAUCGGAAUCCAACGAUGUUUUUUAAACAACAGAUCUCAAAUGAGGCAAGACUACCCGCCGAAUUUAAGCAUAUAAUUAAGCGGAGGAAAAGAAACUAACUAGGAUUCCCUCAGUAACGGCGAGUGAAGCGGGAAGAGCUCAAACCGAAAAUCACUGGUGCGAACCAGCGAAUUGUGGUCUAUUGAGGCGUGUCUCAGCAGUCGGCCCCGGCCUAAGUCCAUUGGAACAUGGCAUCAGAGAGGGUGAGAAUCCCGUCUUUGGCUGGGUGUCCGACGCGUUCGAGCCGUCCUCGAAGAGUCGGGUUGCUUGGGAGUGCAGCCCUAAGUGGGUGGUAAAUUUCAUCUAAAGCUAAAUACAUGUGGGAGACCGAUAGCGAACAAGUACCGUGAGGGAAAGAUGAAAAGAACUUUGAAAAGAGAGUUAAAAAGUACUUGAAAUUGCUGAGAACGAAGGGAUGGCGACUAGUACUGGCCGAGGCAAUCCUUACCGGCUGGCUGUUGGUGUUUGUUGCGGGUCGGAUUGCGUUCAGCUUCCGCUCGUGGCAAUCGGCCGGCAGUCACCGGGUCCUGUUGCCUUGGCCUAGGUCAGAAUGGGUUCGCUUCGAUUGACAACGUCGUCGGCAAGGUAGCUCGGGUUUACGCCCGAGAACUUAUAGGCCGGCGUCGCCAGAUCGUCGCGGUCCGAGGUGUCGAAACACGCGCUCUAAGCUUUGGCGCGGCUGUUGCUGUUGGGUCGGCGCCGUUGGGGAACAAAGUUCCGUCUCGGUUGUCGGCUCGCACUCGGCGGCCCGUCCAUAUGUCGUGUUGGCGAUUCUGACGAAAUGGUCGUCAUUCACCCGUCUUGAAACACGGACCAAGGAGUCUUACAUAUAUGCGAGUAAUCAAGUGGGAAACUUGCUUGCGGAAUGAAGGUGAAUGAGUGUGAUCGCCUGUCCCCUGCGGGCGGCGAGCAACACCGGGCGGCUAAAAUAACUGUACGACCAUGAGCAUAUCUGUAGGGACCCGAAAGAUGGUGAACUAUGCUUGAGCAGGAUGAAGCCAGGGGAAACUCUGGUGGAAGUCCGAAGCGAUACUGACGUGCAAAUCGUUCGUCUGACUUGAGUAUAGGGGCGAAAGACUAAUCGAACUAUCUAGUAGCUGGUUCCCUC
rnacentral:misc_RNA from 1 species